rnacentral:lncRNA from 1 species
GAAGGGCCUCCUACCAGCAUCUUCCCUUUACACUUGUAAAGAAGUGGGGCUUCAAACAAGCUUAACUCGACUUCGCUGGGAGUAAUGAUGGCCAAUAUAGGCUGAAGAACUGGUGGAGGGUCUGGAAUGGCUGAAGGAUCCGACACUACGGGAGGAUCAGCCGACCUUUGUGCCUUCUUUUACCCAAGGGUCCUGAACUUUGGGGUCAUAUUAACUUCGCUCAAGCUCGUGUCGAAGUCACUGCCUUCCUUGAAGGAAUGAGCAAUCACGUCCUCACCCAUGGCCUAAAGUGGGACAAAGGCUAAGUCAUCAAAGUCCUCGAGGUCUGAGCUCAAAACAAGGAUAGG